rnacentral:rRNA from 1 species
CCUACGGGAGGCAGCAGUGAGGAAUAUUGGUCAAUGGGCGGAAGCCUGAACCAGCCAAGCCGCGUGAGGGAUGAAGGUUCUAUGGAUCGUAAACCUCUUUUAUAAGGGAAUAAAGUGUGGGACGUGUCCUGGUUUGUAUGUACCUUAUGAAAAAGGAUCGGCUAACUCCGUGCCAGCAGCCGCGGUAAUACGGAGGAUCCGAGCGUUAUCCGGAUUUAUUGGGUUUAAAGGGUGCGUAGGCGGGCUUUUAAGUCAGCGGUGAAAGUCAGUGGCUCAACCCUAGCAUUGCCGUUGAAACUGGGAGGCUUGAGUUUGUUUGAGGCAUGCGGAAUGCGUGGUGUAGCGGUGAAAUGCGUAGAUAUCAGGAGGAACAUCGGUGGCGUAGGCGCUUUACUGGGCCGUAAUUGACGCUGAGGAACGAAAGCCGGGGUAGCAAAUAGGAUUAGAUACCCCAGUAGUC